rfam:Podiceps cristatus contig38499, whole genome shotgun sequence.
CCAAAGGCUCUUUUCAGAACCACCAAUCCUUUCAGUUAAAGGGCUU